rnacentral:rRNA from 1 species
CGAGAGGCUUCCACAAUGGGGGAAACCCUGAUGGAGCGACGCCGCGUGGGUGAUGAAGGUCUUCGGAUCGUAAAGCCCUUUCAGCAAGGAAGAAAGGACGGGCGACAAUACCGCCAUGUUCUGGACGGUACUUGCAGAAGAAGCUCCGGCUAACUCCGUGCCAGCAGCCGCGGUAAGACGGAGGGAGCAAGCGUUGUUCGGAUUUACUGGGCGUAAAGGGCGUCUAGGCGGAUUGGUAAGUCAGGUGUGAAACCCCCCGGCUCAACCGGGGAUCUGCACUUGAUACUGCCGAUCUUGAGUAUGGAAGAGGAAAGCGGAAUUCCAGGUGUAGCGGUGAAAUGCGUAGAUAUCUGGGAGAACACCGGUGGCGAAGGCGGCUUUCUGGUCCAAUACUGACGCUAAAGCGCGAAAGUGUGGGGAGCAAAC